GUCGAGAAUCUUUCACAAUGGGGGCAACCCUGAUGGAGCGACGCCGCGUGGAGGAUAAGGUCUUCGGAUUGUAAACUCCUGUCAUGCGUGAACAAGGUUGCUUGGAUAAUACCUGAGCAAAUUGAUGGUAGCGCAAGAGGAAGAGACGGCUAACUCUGUGCCAGCAGCCGCGGUAAUACAGAGGUCUCAAGCGUUGUUCGGAAUCACUGGGCGUAAAGGGUGCGUAGGUGGCGUGGCAAGUCAGAUGUGAAAGCCCGGGGCUCAACCUCGGAACUGCAUCCGAUACUGCCAUGCUAGAGUACUGGAGGGGUGACUAGAAUUCUCGGUGUAGCAGUGAAAUGCGUAGAUAUCGAGAGGAAUACCAAAGGCGUAGGCAGGUCACUGGACAGUUACUGACACUGAGGCACGAAGGCCAGGGGAGCGAACGGGAUUAGAAACUCUGGUAGUCC
rnacentral:rRNA from 1 species